AUACGGAACUUCGGAUAAUAACCGAGACCCCACUGCAUAUUUAUUUAUUGCUCUUAUUAAAUAUAAUUCCAUUCUGUAAAAUUAUGGUGUAUUUUUACAUUUCUUAUGGUAUAAAUUUCUUUUCCGCAACUGUAUGUACUCGCGUCAGACAAAGAGAGCGAUAAUGAGUAAUAAGGAUAGCAAUAAUGUUUAGUUCGGUUUUUCACCACUACGUGGCGAUAGUGUUUCAAUGUUCUAUACAUAAAUCAAACAAAUUUUCGUUAGUGAAAAAGAUUAAUUAAGAGCAUUAGUUUGCGAACUUCUGCAAUUGUAUUUGGAUAAUUGGACCCUCGACUUUCCUUUUUAUAUAAUUUGAACUUCGAUAUACAUUUAUAAGAAGGUAUACAUUUUUUACGCAAAUAUUCUGAGACGAUACAAUGAACUUACGCAUUAUUUACGUUAUAUCAAAUUGAUUCAUACAUUUUUUCGGAUGCAGUACAAGCACAAUUUAAGUUUCUAUAAUUACGUAGAGUUAAACUACACAAAUUUUUAUACGUAUAGUACGUAGACGGAACAAAUGUUUAUAUUAUCCGGUACCAUGGCCCAGGUUUUCGCGCAUGAUUUGCUGGUAAAUUGACCGAGGAAUCCUUCCAAAAAGUAAAAAGGCAGUGAAAGGAAAUCUCCAUACAUUUCCUAGACCAACGGAAGCAGCGAUACAAGCCAUUAGAAAUUCUAGACCACCUCCCCAUUCUGCUCUCUGAGAAAAAGAAGUGAUGUGCAAAUUGGUUUUACCAUCAUCCAGUGGCGUAAUAUUGAGAUAAGUAGUUAGCAAGUAUAUGUUAAUCAGAAUAAUGGUAGAAAGAGACCUCGAAUGAAAAUCUCAAUAAUUAUAGAUAAAUACUAUUAAAAAUAUUCUACUUCGCGAAAGGUUCAAUGUUUUAUAUUAGACUGUAAAUGUUUAUUUAUUUGUGAGAAUUGAAAUUAAUACAGGAUUUAAUUUCAGAGUGAGUCGCUGUAAAAAAGUUUAGAUUAGAAAAUUUGAAGAGGCAAAAAUUUAUAAGUUCAGAAAUUCUAUAGUUAAUAUAACUUUAAUGUGAAAGUUACAAAACUCGAAAAUUCCAAACUACAGAAGUUUAAAAAUUCCAAAAAUCAAAACUUUCUACCGUUCAACAAUUCGAAAAUUUUGCACCCCAAAAAGUUACAAGAUUCGAUAGUAUCAAAAUUCAGAGAUUUAAAAAUUUCAAGCUACAGAGGAAAAGAAUGAGAAAAAAAUAUAUUAACCAAGUCAAGUUAAUUUGUUUCACGAACGCAAUGUUAAGAAGCAAAAUCCCAUCGUUUAAAUCGAUCGGAAAAGUAGUAAAAAUUGAUCACAUACAGAAGGAUUGUUUUCCGAUGUUACUUGUUGCACGUCAGGUUCUCCUUUCGAUUUUUCGCCAUUCCCUUUUCCUUCCAAGUAAAUAUUUUCCAUCUGGAAUGCCUCAUUAGCAUAGCCAUUUUUCUUCUGAAAAUAUUCUACUCGUUAAUUGAAAAUUUCAACUCGUAAUCGGACGGAUUACUCAAAAAUCCUAGUCGCUAUAAAAUCUCUCACAUAAGUUCCAUUUUCGAUCUUCUCCAUCUUCAUCGAGUAUUCCCAAGAAUCUCCAAAUUUCUUAUCCUACAAAUAUUCUAUUCCACCACUAAUAAUCUUAAAGGAGGAUCACUACUUUCCUAGCAGUUCAUAAAAAUUAUUUACCAAUCAUCACAUGUAACGAAAUCACGAUAUCAUUUCAGAAAAAAUCGAUGAAUUCCAAAACAUAGAACUUAUCACGAAUUUUUCAAGAAUUCACUUCACUUCACUUCAUUAUGAAAAUAAACAUUUCACUGAGAUUGGAAAGGAUAAUAAAAUACAUAGUAAGUUUAAUGGUAAAAGGAUAAUAAACGAUAUAAAAAUUGAAUUUGGACACUGGAUUGGGAGAAAGAUAAUAAAAUAGAUGUGAUUCUCUAUAAAGUCUUCUGGAUGGCAACAAACGACAACUUCGAUUCUUCGGAUACGAAACUUCGUAUCACGUUGAGGAAUAUUACGACAGAUGUCGUAGCUUUUUCGGUCAUCUGUGCCGUUCUUUUUCUCCUCGUGGUUCUCGCGUCCAAGUAUGAAAAGGAUGAAAACCAACUUUUUACACCUGUGGGAAUAGAAACGUUAGUUUAUGCAAUGAAUUAUUAUGAGUCACAGUAGAUCAUCCACAGGAUCCAUUCUGCGUUUCAAACACGAAUUCCAAUACGACAAACUGUUCCCACGCUUGCGGCGAUUCGAUAUUACCGCGCAGACGAAUUUCAAAGAGAAAUUUCU